CACUCAUGUUUCUCUUCAGAUCGUAUAAAUCUUUCGCCUUUUACUAAAGAUUUCCGUGGAAAGAAACACUAUGAGGAUUCAAUAAUUUUUCGAUGCCCUGCUUAAAUGUGGGGCU